rnacentral:rRNA from 1 species
UACGGAGGGAGCUAGCGUUGUUCGGAAUUACUGGGCGUAAAGCGCGUGUAGGCGGCUAAGCAAGUCGGGCGUGAAAUCCCAUGGCUCAACCAUGGAAGUGCACCCGAAACUGCAUAGCUAGAGUCCUGGAGAGGAAGGUGGAAUGCUUGGUGUAGAGGUGAAAUUCGUAGAUAUCAAGCGGAACACCGGUGGCGAAGGCGGCCUGCUGGGCAGUUGCUGACACUGGAGGCGCGACAGCGUGGGGAGCAAACAGGAUUGAGA